AGUGUUAGGGUUGGGGCAGUGCUCCUGGUAACAGCGGCAGAGCGAGAGAGAGAGAGAGAGCCCCUCUCUCUCUUACACACACCCACCCACCCAGCUCACACUCGCCCUCUCACACUCACCGGGGCCACGGGCAGGUGCAUCGCGCCCUGAGCCCUGGCACCGGGUGACACACGGACGGACACGGGCACAGAGAGAGAGGGGGGGGAGAGAGAGCAAACCAACCUUACAUGUCACUCACUCUCACUGUGCGCCGUGGAGAAAGGAGAGAAGGAGAGAAUUUAUUAUCAUUUUAUUGUUUUGUUUACCCCCCCCCCCCCCCCCCGUCGCUGCCGUUCUGUUCAUCUCCUACAACACACGCGGCGGCAACAACAACAACAAAAAAUGAUAAGGAAGGAGAGUGUGAAGAGAAAAUGAUCUAAAAAAAGAGAGAGCGAGAGGAGUUGGGUGGAGGAAGGGAAAAUGCCCAGGAGAAAGCAGGAGCAGCCGAAGCGACUGCCCUUUUCGCAUGGAAAUGAAGAAGAAACAGGAGAAGAAUUGGGUGAAGAAGAGGAUUGGUUCGGAAAUGCCUCUGAAACUCCUUCUGAAGUCUCCUAUCUAGAUGCACAAGAGGACCUUAAUGCGUCACCUGGGGAAAAGCAGCAAGAACAAGAAACUUCUCCAGAUAACUCCUUGGGAAGUACAACUCCCAUAAGGAACUCAUUGGAAUUGUUAGUCUCUGAAAAUGAUCAGGUUGGAGACCACUUGGGAAAACAGGAUGCAUUAUCACCCGUUUCAUCAUCAUCAUUGUUACAUGAAAUGGGAUCCCAUGCUUUGCACAAACCAAUGAGUAGCAAUUUGAGACGACUGCUGGAGUCUGGGCCAAUCAGCGGCACCUCUGGUCUGGGAGCUAAGGAAAAAGAAUGUUGUGUAGAUGGUCUUGUUUCGGUUUUGCCUUUGUCACCAUCUUCCCCUCAUGCACUACAACUAAGCGUUCUUGCUAGGAAGUCAGCUGCUAAGCAGGAACAAAGUAAUAAUUUUAGUCCAAGUAACAACUUUAUGUGGGACCAGGAUAUUUGGCUGCAAAGUUCAUCGUCUUGUAGUUUAUCACCUGCUUCAGCCACACAGAAACUUAAAGCAGCUGCAAAUGCAGUUCGCCUGGACAAAAGUCUUUCAAGGGUAGAGGAGCCAAUGAGAUUUAGUCCAUACUCAUCGCCUUACAGCCCUAUACAAAAACAGUCUGCGAGUUCUGCACUGGCUGCUCUCUCGAAGAAAGUUAGUGAAAGAAGCCAGUCUUCUGCUCAAGAUCACAAGCGUCCAGGAAGUUCUUUCCUUUCUCUGGCCUCAAUGACCUCAUCGGCUGCCCUCUUAAAAGAAGUUGCAGCUAGAGCUGCUGGCAAUAUGUUGGUUGAGAGAAAAGAUCAACUGAUCCCAGGAGAUACCUUAAGAUCUAUGGAAGUGAAACAAGAAAAAUUAAUUCCAUCAGCUCCAUUGGAAUUGCUGUUGCCGGCACCGAAGCAGAAGUCUCUGAAGCCUGUCAAUCAAGUUUCAGACGAAGAGGGAGGAAAAUCCUUUCAGUGUCCCAUUUGUGGCUUGGUUAUAAAACGAAAGAGCUACUGGAAACGCCACAUGGUGAUUCACACUGGACUAAAGAGUCACCAGUGUCCUCUCUGCCCAUUCCGUUGUGCACGCAAGGACAAUCUGAAAUCACACAUGAAGGUUCAUCAGCACCAGGACAGAGGGGAAACUUUCCAUUGUGACCUUUGCCCUUUCACCUCGUCUCGUCAUUUCAGUUUAAAACUCCACAUGCGCUGUCAUCAGCACUUUCCCAGAACAGAGGUGAAGGUCAAAGAAGAGAUUACUGACUCUGAGGUCGGAGGGUUAUCUGUUAAUGAGACUGGUGAUAAAAACGAGGAAGCACAACUACUUGGGAAUAAGUUAAAAAUGCAGGACCAUCUUUUGUAUGAAGCAAUGACAGAGAAUGACAAGGAAGCUGCUGUUCCAUUGAAGCCAGUUAAAGAGGAACCCAUUGAUAUGAAUGUCACCAGUAUAUCACUACUAGAUAUUCAUGGGUUUGGCAAAAGACCAGAAGCAAUACAGCAGGGUUCAGCAAAUCCAUCAGAGACAUCUGAUCCAAGAGACAUCCAAAAAGUAUUUCUCUUCAAUCAUGACAUUUCUGCAACAGAUUUUCUUCUGAAUUUAUCAGCUGCAAACCAAAGGGGGCCCUUAAUUCCAAGGAUCAAAGUGAAAGACGAGCCUAAAGAGAGGACAACACCUGAUCCUAUUCCGUCACCACGAUCAGUUAACUUGAUUGGUAAAGAGCCCCCAACUGCUGCUUCAGAGAUGUUCAGCCAGGAUAUGUCUUGUAAGGUGGCAUCAGAGCUCCUGUUUAAACUAUCAGCUGAAAAUAAAAAGGAGCUGGGAACACGGACAGUGAUAAUUAAAGAGGAGCCAAUGGAAUUGGAAAUACCCGACCCCACCGUGUCACGACUUCCUAAUCGUUUGUUUAAUUGCAAGGCAGUAAAAAAUGAACGGUUACAGGAUUCCCCUGAAGUUAUACCUCUCACCGAAAUUAAGCUUUUCACUCAAGACAUAUCAGUGAAGAUGGCAUCAGAGCUUCUUUAUCAACUCUCAGAAAAAGUAAACAAAGCUCAAGAACAAGGAAGGGAGGCAUCAGAGUUGAGUAGCAGCAGUUCUUCUCUAUGUGAAGAAGUAUUUAGACAAUCACCAUUUGCUCCAAACUUGAGGGAUCCUUUAUCUCAUCUCCAUGCAAGACCAUCAUCACAAGAAUCAGGAAAACUAACCAUCGAGUCAGGAGCUCUGAAUCCGCAAUGGAAAUUUUGUGAGCAGCUUUUUCCCUGUAAGGUUUGCGGGAAAGUUUUUGGUCGGCAGCAAACAUUGUCACGGCAUCUUUCGUUGCACACAGAAGAAAGAAGGUACAAGUGUCAUUUGUGUCCGUAUGCUGCCAAGUGCCGAGCAAACUUAAACCAGCAUUUGACAAUCCAUUCAGUGAAGUUAGUCAGUGGAGAUUCUGAGGAAAUAGCUACUGCUGUAACCUCAAACAGUUCUGAUCGUAAGAACAGUCCCUAUUACUACAGCUGCCAUGUUUGUGGAUUUGAGACCGAGGUGAAUCUGCAGUUUGUCAGCCACAUGUCAUUACAUGUAGAUAAGGAGCAGUGGAUGUUUUCAUUGUGCUGCAAUGCCUGCAACUUUUCCUGCAUGGAUGAAACAGAAAUGAAAGCACAUGCAUAUGCAGCACAUGCAGAUGAGAAAGCCCAAACGCCCUCUUGUCAAAGUCCCGCCAGUGAAUCUAAGGCAGCCGCCAUGUUUUCUUCUUCCUCGUCAACGUCUUCGUCAACGUCUUCGUCGUCUUCAUUGAGUUCAUCUUCAGCACUUUGUGAUUCCGUCACUGAAUCUGAAAUCCCCCACUCGGACUUCACCAAUGAAGAGCAAAGCACUUCCUUCAACCCUCCAGUGGCACUCAGUGGGUCGUCUACAUCGGGUUCAGAGGAAAAAACUGAGAAGGGUUUUGAGUGCAUCUUCUGUAACUUUGUGUGCAAAACAAAGAUGAUGUAUGAACGGCAUCUGCAGAUACACCUCAUCACCAGGAUGUAUGAAUGUGACGUCUGUCACAAAUUUUUGAAAACAUCCGAGCAACUAUUGGAACACAAAAAAUGCCAUAAUAUAUCCACCGGAGGACUCAAUCCUUCCAACGUAGACAAACGUCUCAAGGCACUUCCCGGAGGCAGACACAGACAAAAGUGGACAUCAAGCCAACAAAGGAGAUAUUAAGAGUGUUGAACAAAAGCUUGGUCAAACAGAUACUUUGAACCAUGAAGUUACAAUUUCUCUAAAGUGAUGUGGUAUAAAUCGGAUGCACAACUUUGACUUGAUGGUUUACUGUGGCAUUGGUGCCCAUUUUGCGUUUACGCCACAAACCGUCCUUCAGCCAUGGAAUGCCAUUUGAGGACACACUACAAAAUGGAAUUCAAGUGUCGGAUCUGUCAAGUGGUUAAAGCAAACCAACUGGAGCUGGAGAUUCAUAUCCGUGAACAUCGCCUUGGCAAUCACUACAAAUGCGAUCAAUGCGGUUAUCUCUCCAAGACGGCCAACAAGCUGAUCGAGCAUGUGCGUGUCCACACGGGGGAGCGACCUUUCCAUUGUGACCAGUGCAGUUACAGCUGCAAACGCAAAGACAAUCUAAACCUACACAAAAAGUUGAAGCACUCUCCAAGGCAGACUCUGUGCUGCGAAGAAUGUUUCUUCACAACCACACAUCCAUUUGUCUUCAGCCGGCAUGUGAAGAAGCAUCAACAUGGCGAAUAUUUGGAAGGAGAGAGGAAAGUCCUUCCUAUGUCUGGGAAAGAAAGCAACUCCAUAUUUAACUGUGGCAGUCCUAGAAAGCUCCUUUCACCACUUUCAAUUAUGUCAGCAUCACAGGCUUUGCAAACUGUUGCACUGACAGUGACAGGCAAGAAUGGAAUUUCAGCAGGAUCAUUUGGCUUAUUUGGCUUGAAUGGCAUUUCUGCACAUCUCACUAAAUACAGGAACAGUGAUCUCGCCCAUCUUAUUCCACUGACUACACUUUUUCCUCAAAACAAAUGUGAAACUACAUUCCAUUCAUCGCAGCAGCAGACUGCACUCGCAGGUGCUGUUUCCCCCAAAAACUCGUUCCUGGCCUACCUUGGCUUAACUGAACAGACAAACACAAUUUAGGUUUCAGCCACAGAGUGAACCGUGGUCAUUGCUGCAAUAUAAGAUUUUUUUUUUCAUAAUGUUUAUUAUUGUAGAAGAGUAGAAUGCGUAGAAGUGGCUGUAAAUGCUUCUUGUAUUCAUAUAAGUGCUGCUUGAAUUAUAUAUAAAUAUACUUAUGUCCAUAUUUGUAUGGAAACCCAAGUAUUGGAAAGAGGUAGUUGGACUCUGGGCUGUGAAAUGCCCAGUCUAAAAAAAAAAAGUUAUGUGAUGAGGCAGAAUUUUGCACAAUGCUUAGUCUUGCACAUUUUUGCGUUACUUAAAGUAGUACCAUUUUCUACCUAGUGUUACUAGUUUCAAAGCAGCGGUGUGUUGACUAAAUCUGAUCAGCGUGAUAGUGAUAAGCCCCAUUUAUUCUGGCAACAACCAUUAGCACUUUGAAAGAUGCAUGGCAUUGCUGAAUAUUGUUUUCAGCAUUUAUCAUCUCCAAGCUUUAGACUGGCACAUUGACGUUUUUGCAUUCAAUGCAGUAUAAAUGAUCCCUGCACUAUGUUUGGAGUUCAUCUUCAUUCACCCAAUUGAGUUCCAGUAUUUUGAUUUAUUCAAAAUGCAACAUAUUGUUUUCAGUAUUUUGAACAUUGUAGAUUCUGUAUGCGUGUGUGUACUAAUAUAUAUAUAUUUAUAUAUAUAUUAUUGUGUGUAUGUACAUAUAUAAUAUAUAUUUAUAUAUUUUGCUUUGAUUAUGCUUUGCUGCAUUUAAAACAAGUUGUUAAAAGGCUGUUUGUGACAGUGAUUGGCACUUAGAUUUUUUGCUCUAUUUCCUGUUCAGUUGCAUUACUCGUGUAACCUGCAGUAUAUACAAAAUAAAUCGGCAUUAUUUUGGUUUUCUA